GGCAACCUGGGGCGCGCAGCGGGGGAAAUACAGGGGGUGCGUGCGUUAAUCGGAAUUACGGGGCGUAAAGGGGGCGUAGGUGGUUAUGUAAGUUAGAUGUGAAAGUCCUGGGCUUAACCUGGGGACUGCGUCUGAUACUGUGUAGCUAGAGUAUUGUAGAGGAAGGUGGAAUUUCCGGUGUAGCGGUGAAAUGCGUAGAGAUCGGAAGGAACAUCAGUGGCGAAGGCGACUUUCUGGACAACUACUGACACUGAGGCACGAAAGCAUGGGGAGCAAACAGGAUUAGAUACCCUGGUAGUC
rnacentral:rRNA from 1 species